AUAAAAUAAAAUAAAUAAAUAAAACUAAUUUAAAAUAUAAAACCUGUAAUAGCACCUCGAUACUGAUUCAAUGUGAACAUUUUUUUAUUUUUUUUGCAAUAAUGGUUGGUUAUCCAUAUAUUAUCACUUGCAUAUAGUGAUAUUGUUGCAUAAAAAAAUCAGAAAGGCACUAAAAUAGAAUUAAAACUUUUCUCAAGAUUACCUUCAUAACCAAUUGAAAAGAAAUGUGUUUGUUCAAAUCGUCUCAGGUACCACACUAGGCAGUGCAGAUUAUGAUGAAGAUGUGACGCCAACACCAGAUUACGACUACAACGCUACAUUCGACUACUAUCUGUACAAUGGCACGUCAAUAAACUACGAGAUGUAUGAAAUUCUCCACAAUACCAAAAAUCAAGGAAAUACGGAUUCAGUGUCAGUGUAUAGACACUAUGGAAUAUUAGCAGGACUGCUGGUGCUGCACUUCUGCCAGCAAACAUGAAAAUCAACUAUGGACCAAACAAAAAUACCGAUGUGCUGAUGUCAUCGAAGAGGAAGGACCAGAACAUCCUCUUUGUUGCAGAGCGACAUCAUUACUGACAUUUUCACUGAAUUAAAGUCUGGAGCUUUGGAAAAAAGAAGAAUCUUUCUACUAAAUGUAUCUCUGUUGUUCAAAACUUUUUAUAUGUGAUUUGAAAUUAUCACAGAUUUUAUGCUGUUUUAGAUGCUUUACUGGGUCUAUUAAUUAUCCAACAAUCAUUAUCUGAGAAGCCUUUAUGAAACUGUAACCAACAUUUUCACUUUUGCAUAAAGGAUGAAA
rnacentral:lncRNA from 1 species